rnacentral:rRNA from 1 species
GCUGGCGGCGUGCCUAACGCAUGCAAGUCGAGCGGGGUGAGUUCGUCACUUCGGUGAUGGGCGAGCCCAGCGGCGAACGGGUGAGUAACACGUGGGUAAUCUGCCCAGAAGCCCGGGAUAGCCCUGGGAAACCGGGGGUAAUACCGGAUAAGGUCACCGGGUUGCAUGAUCUGGUGAGCAAAGGGGCAACUCGCUUUUGGAUGAGCCCGCGGCCCAUUAGCUAGUUGGUAGGGUAAAGGCCUACCAAGGCGACNAUGGGUAGCCGGUCUGAGAGGAUGGCCGGUCACACUGGGACUGAGACACGGCCCAGACUUCUACGGAAGGCAGCAGCAAGGAAUUUUGGGCAAUGGGGGAAACCCUGACCCAGCGACGCCGCGUGAGCGAAGAAGGCCCUAGGGUCGUAAAGCUCUGUCUUUGGGGACGAAUGUGACGGUACCCAAGGAGGAAGCCCCGGCUAACUACGUGCCAGCAGCCGCGGUAAU